AUAGUUUUACUUUGUGUAAUGACUCAUCCAUUCCCAGUCUCUAUUCAAGCCUAAGAAGAGAAUCAUAGAAGAGAAUCAAUCCUCACCUAUGAUUAAUGAAAUAUUUAUUCUCUGCCUAUGAACCAUAUGCUCGCACAGCUUCAUCCUCAGAAAGCAGAGGAAUUUGGUAGUGCAGAUGCUAAGAGGAGCUCUCACUAUUAUUAUGACUUCCUAGAAAGUAUUUCUGGCAUAACUAAACACCUGCUGCUGUACCACUUCAUGCUGUAAUUUUGUCUGCUCUUACAAACACUAUCUUCCUCAAGGAUAAUGCUGCAGGAAGUGGGACUGGUGAUUCAGUAGGUGUCAGUCUUCCCUCUGAGUGAGUACUGACCCAAUGUCUCACCAUGAUGUUAGGGGACAAUGCACUGCUGGAUAUGCUGUUUUGGGUAUGAUAUACACCCAAGAUCCUGGCCAUUUGUUGUCAUUAAAGAUGAUAUGGCACAUUUUUUUUUACAGGAGCAGGUAUGUGAACCCCGAUGUCUUGUCUAAAUUCCAGUGCAGCUAAUUAAGAACAUAAGAACUGCCAUACUGGGUUAGACCAAAGAUCCAUAUAGCCCAGUAUCCUGUCUUCCGACAAUAGCCAAUGACGGGUGCUUCAGAGGGAAUGAACAGAACAGGUAAUCAUCAAGUGAUCCAUCCCCUGCCGCCCAUUCCCAGCUUCUGGCAAAGAGGCUAGGGACAUAAUCCCUUCCCAUACUGACUAAUAAUUACAUUCUGCCUGCCUAAAUUUCUCUUGCAGUUUAGAGUAAUGCCAUUAGAAUCCGACCCAUAGGUAUUUCACCCAAUGGUACAUUGGUGAAUGAUAUAAGAAACUGCACCAGCCACACGGUCACAUAAAUUUCCUUUAAUUCAUGGCAUUUUGUGCUCUUAUGCCAAUGGAUUUGUACUGCAAAUAUCUGAACCACGAGGGGAAUCAGUUGCUGGAUGCCAAAUAUUUGAACCAUGUGGGUGGGGUUUAGAGGGAUGUGUUGUUUUCCAUCAGAACUAAAUAUGGUCUCACAGCGGAAACUACAUUGUGCCCCUAGAAGUACUGACCCUGUGAUCACUGCUGAAGUUUCUGUUGAGUUUGAAGACAUGAAAAUAUAAGUAGUAAUAAUUUUAGAGAAAAAUAUCUGAAAUCUGCCAGUCAGGUUAGAGGUGGCUAGGUGGUAGAGUGGAAAUUAUUUGAAUACCCCUUUUAAAAGAUUUUACAGCAGGUGCCCAGCAGGUGGCAUCAUCUCCUCAAACAGACUAUAAAAAAAUGGAAUGUCAAUCUGCUCUAUUUACCCAAGUGCUGCUUUGUCGGUGGUAUUUUAUGUAAUUCCCCUCGUGUUCUAAUAAACUGGUUAAUGAGAAGAGAAAAGUAAUGGCUUUGGAUCUUUAGGUUGUUAUCCAGAGAAUGAGUAGCAAAGGGUUACUGAAGCAAGCAAUACAUGAUUAAAAUACAAGUGUUAAAAAAAAAAAAAAUCUCAGAGCAAUCUAAUUUCUUAAACUCCAUGUGUUGAUCCAAAAGAAAAUAUGUAAUCGUUUUGUAAUAGCUGGGACUGACACCUGCCAGAAGCCACAACACACAUCUGAACAGUUUCAGUAACACCCAGGAACCACAACCAAGAUUGGGACCCCCAGUGCUAAGUGUUUUAUCAACACAUGAGGUCAGGAUCCCCAUCCCAAAAAGCUAACAAUAAGAUGUCUUUGCACACUUGCAAAUGACUUCUAUCUGUUUGAGUGAACAAGUAAUCCAUCAAAGCAGUCUUGAUGCGACUCUAUCAUAGAACUGCCCCUUUCAGCGACAGAGCGAUGAGUGCACAUGAUUGUGCUUUUUCCCAAUCCACAGGAAGUUUCGCUUUGUAAGAGCAGGAUAUUCUCUAUGGUAAAUACUUGCAGCAUGUAGCAUUGUGUAUAUAAUCUUCCUGACAGCAUUGAUGCUGUUACAAUAUAGAGAGUCCACAUUCAGCCCAGUAAGCAGGUGUAAUUUCAGUGAAGUCAAUAGAGUUUUCCUGCUCCAGGACUGAACUUGGCCCAGAAUUUUUAUGUCUGCUACCUGGAUGAUGAUGUAACAAAGAACAAAAGAGGAAAUACUUGUGGGAGGAAAGGGUUUAUAUUCCAUGUUUUUAGAGUGUUAUGAACUUCUAUAUAUGUGGAAGGAUUUUAGCUAUUUGAAAAGUCCUGUUUCUCUCUGUCCCUUUUCAGCUUGCUGAUUCCCCCCCCCCAAGUAAUACAAUGUUCUGUGAAGCCCAGCUGCUUCAUUAUUAGCGUCACACAUUGUGAAGUGUUGCAUAAAAUAAUUCAUUGUCUCAAGCAUCUUGCUGGUUUUAAUUCAGUACAGUUACAAAUGAUAUACAUUCACCUUAUAUUUAUAUAUACAGAGUAGUUUCA